GUGAUUUCUGCCUCAAUCAUAAGGGUGACCUACACAGGUAUCUUUUCGUUCUCCAAUCAUUUCAUUUCUGCGCCCUUCAUCUGUAUUUUAACCUGUUAAUACGUGGGUGAAUAUAAGGAAAAAGCAAAUCAGUUUGACCUUUAAUGUAAAGUCAUAUUUGAAUGAUCAAAACAGCACUAUUUCCAACACUAGAAAGAGUAUGAGUCUUGAGAUACAAAAGCACGUGCCUUUCUCAGCAGCCUGGUAGGAAUGAUAAUGUAAGCACGGCUUGAAUGAUAAUUUUAUCUACAUAGCAGCCUUCCACCCUCUUGCCUUCACUGUAUAUGAAGACUUCUGCCCAGAGAUAUAUGUUUAGCCAAGCUGUUUUAAUAUAACAUAUUAAAUUUUAAAAUGAUUCAAGGACAAACACUGAACUUCGGCUCCCUGCAGGGUGCCACAUUUUCUUGCACCAUUUCCCGCCUUUACUAGCAGCUAUUUUACCACUAAGCCAGGAAAGAAGGAAUUAUGCAGGAAAACUGCUAUCAGCUGGUACCCCUGCUGGAUUACACAACCCAGAGCAUAAUAGCUUUCCCAGUGAAGCCUCAGACAGCUUGGGCAAAGCCAUUAACUACUGCUAACACCUAAGGGGAGAAGUGAGUCCACGCUUCCUAGGUUUAUAUAUCAAAAAAAAAAAAGUUAUUUCAAAUGCAGAAGGUCAGACCCCAUCCUUAUUCUUAUUCUGCUGCUUUAGGAUAAAAAUGAGGGAAUGCACAUUUUUGUUAUUCUUGCAUUCUUAUAUAUAAAUUAAUGUAAUGAAUGGAUAUUUUAUUUUAAUUGUACUGUGCAUAUAUUCUACAUGCACAAGUGAAAGUUAGACAAGUUUGGAUUUAAAAUGCCAAAAUGGAUUGGAUAGUUCAGAGUCUAAAUUAUUAGUAUUUAAAAUAAAUUUAUACGGAACUGUACUAUGAUGUUUUGAUGUGAGUUUGUACUUCAUUUACAAGUUAAGGUAAUGGUAUGUGCAAGAUCAGCAGUGAGUGCUGCCUCCAUUGCAUUGCACGUGUGUAAAAUCCAGUGUGUUUUACACUGCUCUAGCCAUUGUGUCUCACACGGUCCUGUUACACACUGAAUCAGGUUUAUUGACUGAUGUUUCCUGUGUGCUUAUUGGAUAAGUUAAUCAAAAUGACAUUAUUAUCUUAUAUAUACCUAACAUCAAGCAUCUGAUAUAUUUCUGAAUUAUAUAUUCCAAAAUCCUUGAGUUUCUCUAUUUACUAGUUCCUAAAGGACUCUUCAGUUUUAGCCCAUUAAUAAGGGGGUGAUAGAGGUUCCUCAUACAGACAUUUUGAUUUUACUGGGCAUAUCUGCAUGUGUAUAUCAUAGUCACUAUGACAGCACAAAAGAAAUCUUUGGUUUCUGGGAAUCAGAGAGACAGAAACUAUUAGUUUAAUAUUUAAAACUGAAUUUAUUUUAUUGAACAUUCUUUAAUUUUUUAUUAGAUAUUUUCUUUAUUUACAUUUUAAAUGUUACUUCCUUUCCUAGUUUCCCCUCUGAAAAACCCCUAUCCCGCCCCUCCCCCCGCCGCCCCUACUCCCCAACCCACCCACUUCCAUUCCUGGCCCUGGCAUUCCCUUAUACUGUGGCAAAGAACCUUCACAGGACCUGGUGCUUCUCCUUCCAUUGAUGACCUACUAGGCGUUCCUCUGCUACAUAGCUAGCUAGAGCCACAAGUCCCACCAUGUGUUUCCUUUGAUUGGUGAUUUAGUCCCAAGGAGCUCUGGGGGUACUGGUUAGUUCAUAUUGAUGUUCCUCAUAUGGGGAUGCAAACCCCUUCAGCUACUUGGGUACUUUCUCUAACUCCUUCCUUGGGGACUCAUUGAAGGUUCUGAUGGACAGAUUCAACAUGUAAGUAAAAGAGGUCUAGAGUUGGAGCUACAAAAAGAUACUUUGGCAGUUGAAAUUAGAUAGAAAUUCAGACUCCAAAAUCCACAAAGCAAUUAGAAAAAGACUAAAGAAGAUAAACAGAGUUUAUGGGACAGGAGGGGAAAGGCUUCUCUCUGUUUUACCAUAGGGACAAAAACCAAAUGUUGGCCAGGCAGUGGUGGCACACGCCUUUAAUCCCAGUACUCGGGAGGCAGAGGCAGGCGGAUUUCUGAGUUCGAGGCCAGCCUGGUCUACAAAGUGAGUGCCAGGACAGCCAGGGUUACACAGAGAAACACUGUCUUGAAAAAACAACAACAACAAACAAACAAACAACCGAAAAACAAACAUUGUAAGUCCAGCUCACAGGCCUCACUCUCUUCACCUAAGUUCUUUUAUCAAUUUUAGCUGAGAAUUAAGAUUUAAAGUAAAUUCAGAGGAGAAUAGUGGUUCACCGCACUGGAGACAUGUCAAAGGACAUGGAUGACAAGUAAAGGGCACAACAGGAAAUGGUGUCUUGCCCAUAACAGACUUUUAUGUAAGUUUUGGGACAAAAGCUUGUCUUUCAUUUUUUUUUUAUAUCCCUUCAUUUUAUUUAUUUAUUUAUUUAUUUACUUAUUUAUUUAUUUAUAAAUUACACUCCAGAUUUUACUCCCCUCCUGGUCUACCAUCCAACUGGUUCACAUUCCAUAACUCCCUCCAGACCCUCUGUUUCCAUGAGGAUCUCCCCACCCCAACCCCCACCUCAGCAGACCUCUAAAUUCCUUGGGGCCUCUAAGGAGUUAUUCACCUGAGGGUUAGGUGCAACUUCUUUGACUGAAUCAAGACCAGGCAGUCCUCUGGUGUAUAUGUGUUGGGGGCCUCAUAUCAGCUGGUGUAUGCUGCCUGGUUGGUAAUCCAAGGUUUGAGAGAUCUCAGGGGUCCAGGUUAAUUGAGACUGCUGGUCCUCCUACAGGGUCACUCUUCUCCUCAGCUUCUUCCAGCAUUUCCCUAAUUCAACAACAGGGUUCAGCAGCUUCUGUCCAUUGGUUGGGUGCAAAUAUCUGCACCUGACUCUUUCAGCUGCUUGUUGGGUCUUUCUAACUACAGUCAUGAAAGGUCCCUUUUUGUGUGUGUUCCAUAGCUUUAGUAAUAGUGUCAGGCCUUGGGGCCUCCCCUUGAGCUGGAUCCCAUUUUGGGCCUGUCCCUGGACCUUAUUUUCCUCAGGCCCCUCUCCAUUUCCAACCCUGCAGUUCUUUCAGACAGGGACAAGUAUGGGUCAGAGUUUUGAUGGUGGUAUGGAAACCUUAUCCCUCACUUGAUGCCCUGUCUUUCUGUUAGAGGUGGGCUCUACAAUCCCGACUGUAGGACAUUUCAUCUAAGGUCCAUCCCUUUAAGUCCUGAGAGUCUUUCAAGUCCCAGGUCUCUGGUACAUUCUGGAGGGUUCUCCUAACCUCUUACCUCCCAAGGUUGCCUCUUUCCAUUCUUUCUGCUGGGCCUCAGGCCUUCAGUCCUUUCCACCCACCCAAUAACGUAUCAUGUUUCUCUCUUCCCCUCUCUGUCACCUUUCCCACCCAGGUCCUUCUGACCCUCUCCUUUCCUGUGAUUUGUUUCUUCUCUCUCUCAAGUGGUAUUAGGGCAUCCUCAAUUGGGCCCUUCAGCUUGUUAAACUUUUUGCAUUCUGUGAAUUGUGUCCUGGGUAUUCUGUACUUUUUUAUUGUUUUGGUUAAUAUCCAUUUAUUAGAGAGUACAUACCAUGUGUGUCUUUUUGGUCUCACUCAGGAUAUUUUCUAGUUCCAUCCAUUUGCCUGCAAAACUUAGGAUGUACUCAUUCUUAAUAGCUAUGUAGUAUUCCAUUGUGUAAAUGAACCACAUUUUCUGUAUCUAGUCUUUCUGUUGUGGGAUAUUUGGUUCUUUCCAGCUUCUGGCUAUCACAGAUAAGGCUGCUAUGAAGAUAGUGGAACAUGUGCUCCUGUGGCAUUGUGGAGCAUCUUUUGGGUUUAUCCCCAAGAGUGGUAUUGCUAUGUUUUUAGGUAGAUCUAUUUCAAAUUUUUUGAGGAGCCUCCAGCUUGAUUUCCAGAGUGGAUGUAACAGUGUUCAAACCCACCAGCAAUGGAAGAGUGUUUCUCUUUCUCCACAUCCUGGCCAAUAUGUGUUGUCACCUGAGGUUUUGAGCUUAACCAUUCUAUAAGGUGGAAUCUGAGGGUUGUUUUGAUUUGCAUUUCUCUGAUCAUUAAGGGCUUUGAAUGUUUCUUCUCAGACACUCAAAACUCCUCUGUUGUGAAUUCUUAGUUUAAUUCUACAGCCCAUUUUUGAUUGGGUUGUUUGGUUUCUAGGUGAUUAGCUUCUCCACUAUAUAAACAAAG
rnacentral:lncRNA from 1 species